GGUUGCAGUCUACUGAGUGCGCGCGCGCGCGCAAAGUCAUGGGCACCUAAGACUUUCUACUACAGUGGCAAUAAGGGAUCAGUCAGGGAGGCCUGACCGAAGGCUGCCGGAAGCCCUGCUGGGCCUCAAGGAUUGUUUUAUGCGGUCAGCACAGUAUUUGCACUUGGGGAUUACAGUCCCGGACGCAGAGCGCACGCCCGGGUCUGGGAUGGGUGCUCCACGGGGUGCGCGGAACGACGCGCUGUGUUUUCAUCUCUGUGAGGAGAUAUAAAGAUCUUGUUACUCUCCGGAUUUCCCACAGCCCUGAGCACAGCGCCUGGCACAUGGUGCUAGGGCCAGAGCAGGAAAGAAGCCACACAGGGAUCUCUGCCCCUGGGAGCUUGUAUUCCAGCCGGAGGAAAAGAGGAGCAAACGGACCACAGAAACUACCCAUACUGCUGCGAGGGUUAAAUCUUCAGAACCUCACGGAAUGCCCAGGACACUGCAGCCCUGGAUAAACGGUAGCUCUGCAAUCUCCGCACGGGACCUUGGAGGAGACACGGUUCCUCUUCCGGGGGAUCCUUCCAGCGCUGACGCCACUGGAGAUCUGGCGUUUGCUGGAUGCUCUUCCUGGCCUUGGCUGUCAAUAGAGAGACUUAAGAACACGAGGUGUCCCCGAAACAGAGUGCUGAGGACCAUCCAGGGAACAGCAGCAUCUCCGAAGCCCCAGGCAGCAGCCACAAGAGGCCCGAGAGGCAGUCGGCCAUCUCCUACGACUACGCGGAGGAGGAGCUGAUGGCCAGCAUCGAGCAGGAGUAUUGCCGCUGAGGCCCUCCUCCGGGCCGGCCCCGCUCCACCGGGCCGCUGGGAACCCGGGCUGGGGGUGCGCGUCCCCCUGCCCCGCCUAGCGCUCCAGCCAGAGCGGAGCUGCUGCCAACAUGCAGUCACUCUGGGUCCUUCAGAUCGGCCUUUUCAAACCCAGUCAGCCAGUCCUGAACAUGGCGGCUGCUGGUCAUCGUGCCUGCUGGCAAGAGGUGGUCCGCUGUGCAGACCCAGGCCGGAAGGAGGCACCUGCCCCUCCUCUCAGUCUCUGGGAAGCUUCUGUCUAGAGGUUCUGCUGGAGCUUGAAACACUCCCCAUUCUGACAGCCCACUGUCCACCCGGGCUGACACGGGGCCCAGGCCACUUCGGGAAGGUUCCACUGUGAGGGUGCACCCAGGCGGUGCGCCCCGUGGGGCUGGAGGGAGCUACCUUCAGUUCUGUGAGUGACUCUGCGGGCGAUGUUGAGAUGCAGGCUCUGGUUCUGUGGGUCUGCGGUGGGCCCGAGCGUCUGCAUUUCCAACCAGCUCCCAGGUGAGACCCCAGCUGCCAGAUCCCAGCCACACAUGGAGCAGCAAGGACUGAGCAUGAACUUCAGACCUUGGUGCGGGCAGCUGCUCAGAGCCUCGCCCUGCCCUCCCCACCGACAAGAUGUGGUGGGGUGGGGCGGCACCCGCUGGCACCCCACUCCGAUCCUCGCUCUUGCUCUAGCUUGCAGCCACUUUCCCUUCCCGGGCCUCAGUUUCUCCCUCUAGAAAGUUGGUCCCAGGGGCUCUUGGGGGCACUGUCCCACUCCAAAACCUGGAUUAGUGUUCCGGGCUUCCAUGCCCUCCCUCAUUCCCACGCCCUGGGGCACAGAACUGCCUCCCCUGUGGAGGGUGUGUGCCAGCCCCACCCAGAAAGUCUUCGAGGUCACCUGCUCUCACCUGACGAAUGCCUGAUAAGAGCUUUUUACUCUCUUCCUACCCCGUGGAAGGUAGAAAACCAUAGUAGUGAGGCCAUCGGAGCCUUAGAAUGUUCCGGGCUGACGGAUGAGAAAGCCGACUGGCCGAGGACCCCCACAGGGCCAGAAUCGAAGCUUGACUGGAAGGGGACUUCUGCCGUGGGCCGGGCGUGGCUGCUCUUGGGACGCUCAGGGAGGCCAGGAGGCAGGCCCCCCACCUCCAGGGCAGCUGGCGAGGCCGAGGCAGCUUUUGCCCAAGCCAGACUAGGUCCCCACUUGUCUCAAGGUGACCACUACGCAGUGGCCUCCCUGGCGUUGCCUGCAAAAUGCAAGAGCAUCUUGGAAAUCGAGAAACAGCCACUUGGCACCGUCCCCAGACCCACAGGCCAGCUGCUAUCAUGGACAAACGGGUGUUUCCAUGCAAUUUUAUUUGACAAGAGUGCCUUCGAUCAGAUGUUCCACAGCCGGGGGUUUUUCUGCGAAGUCAGAGGAUGGUGCGAUGGAGCCCAGAAGGGUUGGCUCAGCACCUCCGCAAAGCCAGAGCGGUUUCUUUGGAUAGAACCAUUAAAGCUGUUACCAUUUUAGUAAUACAAAUGCUCCUUCUAAAGGAAGUUAAAAUUUUAUUUCUCACAACCAGAUGCAUCAGGCCUGGAAUUUAAUGAUAGAAAAUGUUUACCAUUUGACAUCAUUUUGUUAAAAUGGAACACAUUCAGCUGGUUUCCAAGAGAAAGAUGACACAUCUGCUUUUUCCAGUGGAAACCUCUUAGAACCCUUAAUGAGGUAAAAGGGCUAAAAAAAAAAAAAAAAUUCCCUCGUGUAGUUAUACUUUGUCAAUGUCAAAGUGAAUGCACUUCAUCAAAGCUAAGUCACAGCAGUUAUUCUCAGGCCUUUUUGUUACCUGAAUUCAGAGAAAGCGUCUUCUGCACAGCGGCUAGCCAGAUACAGCCAUGUGUGCCCGCUGGGAAGUGCUGCCCAUUGUCACCGUGGGAUGGGCGCAGACUCAGUGUGCGCCAGGGGGGAGGGUGUUGGCAAGAGGUACAAAGAUGGACGUUCUGGGGUCUGUCUGUGGUAGAGGCAUUUUUAUCUAAGUCACAAGGCUGGAAAAGUCCACCAAAGUUGUGAAGCAGAGUAGGAAAAGGCUCAGGGAGGAGGGAGGGACCAGCAAAGGGUCAGGCAGCGAGGCCGCAGGGAAGCGUGAGUGUGCAGCCUGCAGGGAGCCACCCAGCGCCAGCGCCACCAACCGCAGAUACAGCGACUGAGAACCGAACACGUCUCUGACAUCCAUGCAGCUCCUCCAGUGGGGUGUGGAUGCCGUCCCAGCCAGCGUGGGCUCAAGAGAAGGCCCCCCGGGGAGCGGAGUGAACACUGUGGCUCCAUCAUGUACUUUUAAAGCCUGGGCUGGGGAUGGUGGGAGGGAGGGAAGAGGCACAGGGAAAGCUGGAGGACGAGGGACACAGGGUUACGCAGCACCGUGAGCCUCUUCUGCCAGGACCGGACCCAGCAUCAGAGUGGCCAACGCAGAAGUAGUCUCUUCACACAUUUUUUUCCAGCAUGAACCCUAUGAGGAAUCUACAGGGUACCCCGAGAGCAGAACAGAACCCCAGGAAACAGAGGAGGAAGGUUAGGUUGCGCCAAUAUACAAUGAUUUUUGUAGAUUAUUUUCUGAAAAGUGACUGGGUGUAUUGUAGUGCAAUUAAAUGACACAUGACACAAGUCCAGUUUGCAAAGCAAAAGUUGUAUAUGAUUCAAAGUUACAUCACACAUAUUCACUUAAAUAAUAAAGUCUGUUACAUAAAACGUAA